rnacentral:lncRNA from 1 species
ACCAAUAUUUUCUCCUCCGUCUCUUUGAAGAGGAUAUGAUACAGCUGGAAAAGACUUGGAGAAGGAUGACAAAGACAGCAGAAGGCAGAGAAGGACUUUAUUACCAAUAGCAGCAGGUAGGUUGAGUUCUUCUGCCCAGAGAAAGGAUUACCAAACAGAGACUGUGCUGGAAAACAAUUGCCAUUGAAAGAUUGAAAUUAUUCAGUGACCCAUCCAGUAAAAGAACUAGGAGACAUCAAGGAACCAGAUUCAAAACAAGCAAAAAGAACUGAUUAUGCAUGUCAUAAGAUGAGAAACUCCGUUCUGGCAGAUUUUGCAGAUACUGAAAGUUUUGCACAAGUUCAGGAAAACACCACUGAUGGAUUCUUCUGUCUGCCCCCUGGCAUCCAGUGCUGGCUGGAGAUCUCUAGAGAAUGAGUCAAGCUGGUGAUGAAAGUUCCAGUUCCGAUGAAAAAGAAUUGGAAGUCGAGAGGGAGCAACCUAUCUGUGCUUUAGCUCCAACAGUAUAUACCCGAGAUGAAGGAUCCACUGAUGUAACAUCAAGUCCUGCAUUUCAGUGUUUAGAUGAGGCAUAAGAAUGUUUUAUGAAGAAGGACCAAACAUAUACUUCUUGCUGGAGAUGGUGUGCCUAAUGGAUACCCAUGUUGCUCCUUUCAGGGAGUGUUGCUUUAAGAGGUCACCACAGCGGUUGUUGCAUCAAUACUAGAUUAAAUCUUGGAAUCUUUCAAAAUUUUUC